GGCCACAACAACACCUACGCGGCA
rnacentral:siRNA from 1 species